rnacentral:lncRNA from 1 species
GUUGAACUCUCAAGAGCUGAAUCCCAAGACUUUGAUCCAGAUGACGAAAAUGGUUCGAGCCAUAAAAAAGGAGAAUUUGAUGAUUCUGAUGCAAUACCUGAUUUUUCAAAGCCAGGACAUGCAGCUUCAGAGGGAAUUGAUUACUCAAGGAAUGCCUUGGGAUUUGAAAAGAUCCCUCCCAUUGACAACUUUACCUCAGAAUCAGAAGAUGAAGGCAUGGCAAGGACAUUUUCUACUUGUAGUUCAGAUUCUGAUGUAUCCAUUUCAGCUGAGAAGAAACUGUCUUUGGAUAUAUUGAGACAGAAUCAAGCUUUGGGUGAUGAAUUAGCCAUUGACAUAGUUAAUACUGGUAGGAAGAAGGAAAAGGAGGAGACACAAUGGCCAAAGCCCCAUGAUCACUUGAGCUCUGAUAUUGGUUUGAGCUUAACUACAACCGAAGACCAAUACAUUGGACAGAAUGAAGUAAUCAAUGAGGACGAAAGCAAGUUUGCCUAUCAAUCGUCAAAGCUUUCAAACACUCAGAGCCUAAAUUUUGAACAGCAAUUACAUGCACAGCAUUCACAUCUAAACAAAAAGUGGGUGUCAAUGAGGACUAGAAGACAGCAUAGGAUUUGAUUUUUUUUAAUUAGUUGUGAAAUUUUGCUUCUUCAUGCUAAUCUCUUUAUUUUUUUCCCAAAUAAAUUUUUUAUGGUAUUAAAUUUUAAUUAAAUUAUUAUUUCAUACUGGAAAUAAAUAUCAAAGAAUUUGGAUAAUUAGUUGUUAUUGUUGUGCUUUUUCUUUUUUAAAAUGACUAUAUAAUUUCUUUUACAUUCAUAAUUAAAAAGUAAAAAAAAAAUUCAUCUAAAUAAUAAAUUUUGCAAAUGUAUUGUAUACAGUUCUUAAUGCCUAUGACGCCACAUGUCAUUUUCUUAUUUCUUUUUUGUUUUUUCUUUUAAAAGAUUUUAUUUUUCAUGUGUGAGAUUCACUUAUAUUAAACUUUUUUUUUGUCUUUUUUUAUCCUUUUUAACUUUUUCUUUUUAAAAAAAUUAAUAAACAUUUUAUAAUUAUAAAAAAUAUAUUUUAAAGAUUUUAUUUUUUUGUGUGGAUCCACUUAUAUUAAACUUUCUUGUUUUGCGUUUUUUUUACUGGUUUUACCUUUUUCCAUUUUUAAAAAAUAUUAAAAAAUAUAUAUUUUUAAAGAAAAUUUUCAUGUGUAGAAUUCACUUAUAUCAAUUUUUUUACCUUUAUAAAAUUUUCUCUUUUUAAAAAAUAUUUAAUAAAGAUUUUCUUGAAAUUUUAAAAAAUUAUAAAAAAUAUUUUUAUGUGUGGAACCUAUUUAUACCAAAAUUUCUUUGUUGCUUUUGCUUUUUUAUUUUUUUAAUGUUUUCCUUUUUAAAAAAAUUAAUAAAUAUUUUCUAAAAUUUAAAAAAAAAUAUUUUUAAAGAUUUUAUUUUACAUGCGGAAUCACUUAUAUCAAUUUUCUUUUUUUUGAACUUUUUCAUCUUUUUCUUUUCUUAGAAAAUACUUAAUAAUAUUUUUAAAUUAUAAAAAAAUAUUUUUACAGAUUUUAUUUUUCAUGUGUAGAACCUAUUUAUAUCAAUUUUUUUUUUUUUGCUUUUCGUUUUUAAUUUUCAACUUUUUAUUUUUUUGAAAAAAUAUUUAAUAAAAAUUUUCUUUAAAAUUUAUUUUUUAAACCAACUUGAUACUAAUGGUAUGUCACCCUUUUUUUUUUCUAUUUUUUUCUUUUUAUAUAUUUAAUAAUUUUUUUUAAUUUUAUUUUUUAGUCCCACUUGAUAUUAAAAUUAUUAUGCAUGUUAAGUCCUUUUUUUUUUUUUUUUUCGCUUUUGCUUUUUAUUAUUUUUUUGCUAUCUAUUUUUCUUUUUUUUAUAUAUAUAUAUUCAAUAUUUUAAAAAAAUAAUAUUAAAAUUUCUUUAAUCUUAGUCCAUCUCUUAUAUAAAUUUAAUUCAUUUUAAUUUUUUUUACACUUAUUAGAAGUCUUAGCGUACCAUCUUAUCUUUCUUUUUUUAUUUUUUCUUUUAACUUUUUAUAGAUUUUUUAUUUUUUGUUUUAUAUAAAUUUUGUAAUAAAAACAAUAUAAGUGUCCGUGUGACACCCCAAUUUGUUUUUCCUUUUUAACUUUUUUAUUAAAUAAAUUUUAUAAUAAAAUGAGCUUAUUCAUUGCAACGGUGGAGCUACUUAUCCAAUAAAUCCACACUCAAUUGGGGUGUCAACGAAAUAUCUCAAUGAGCUUUCUUUUCUUUUCUUUUUCCUUUCUCAUUUUUUGAUUCUUAUUUUUUUCUCAAUUGUUUCCUUUUCUAUUUUUUUCUCUUUAAUAAAAAUAAUUUUAUAAAAAUAUAUAUAUGAAUAUGUUAGUAUCCAAUUUAAGUCUUUUUACCUUUGGUUUCUUUUAUGUGUUUUUUAAUUAGAUAAAAUUUGCAAUGUGAGAUACCGAUUGAUAAAGAUGUCAAAACAAUUCAUAUUUUAUGGAUUUUGAUCGAUCUUAAUAUGAUAAAGAAGUAAUUUUUAAAGAUCAAGAUUUAAUUAUGAAUUUUUGAUAAAAAAAAAGGUGCGAUUGGGGGUUAUAAGAGUGUUUACAGUUCUUUGUUUUAACUUAUUUUUAAGUGUAUAUAAAAAUAUAUAUUUUAUUAUUUAUUUAGUUAUAUACAUAUAUAUAAAUUAUAUUAAUAAAGUAAUUCUUUUAAUCUUAAUUUAAGUUUUUUUUUUUUUUUUUAAGUUCGAUAUUAGAUGCCAAUACAGCAUCUUUUAUUUGCAUCCCCCCCUUUUUUCUUUAAACUCUUUUAGGUUUUUUUUGCAAAAUUUUUUUGUUUACCCUUUUCCCACUUUUUACACUUUUUGUUUUUUUUUUUUAGAUUAAUUUUAUGAGAAAAGUGGGUCAAUUAAGGUUUACACAUUUAAUCCCCGUUUGUUUUAGCUUUUCUUUUAUUUUUGAAUUUGUUAAAUUUUGCAAUAAAAACAAUGAAUAGAUAAAACAAAAAAAAUUUUACUUACAAUUAGAUCAAACAAUUCAAAAUACAACACAAGUUAAUAAUUUAGUAAAAAAUAUGAGUUUAAUAUAAACAAAAAAUAUAUUUUGUAUAUUUAUAUUGACAUAAUAUAAAUAUAUAAAUUUGUACUAUUUUACAUAAUAUAAAUAUACGAAUUAUUAGAUUUAUUCAUGACAACACAUGAAUACCUUUUUAGUACAAUAUAGAUUGUAAAUUAUGUUGGUUCCUCAUCUUAUCUAAGUUUUGCCAUUUUUACUGCCUUCUUUUUUAUCUAUUUUUAUAAUCUAACACUUUUUUGCUUUUUUUUUUUUUACUUUUGCACAUGACAAAAAAAAAAAAAAAAGGAGAGACGAUGAUAUGGAAUUAAGAUUAAUGGAGAAAAGUGACAAAAGAAAGGAGGCGAAGAAGUUUAGAAGAAAGUUGGGUACACGUGUGCAUCCAGCUUUUCCUUUCUUUCUUUCUUUUUUGUUUGUUUUUUUUUUUAAUUAUUAUUUUUAGCUGUAUUAUAAAUUUCAUAAACUUUGGAGAUCAUGUGACAACAAUUCAAUUACCUUCUCUUUUUUUUUCCCUUCUUUCAUUGGAGACAAACAUUAGAAAAAAAAAAAAAAUGUUUGUACCUAGAAAUAUGGAACUUUUGUAUCGCUCUAUAGUGGUUAGAGUGUUUCACAAAAAAAAAAAUGUAUGACGUGGUUUAGAGUGACUUAAUACUCAAUGCUUGAUUAGAGGACAUCACUAACAAAAUGCAUGUACCAUGAGAUAUCUUGGUUUAGAUAAAUAUAUUUUAGAACUCAAUAAAUAUUAAUCAAAAUAUAAAUUAACACUAAAUUCAAACAUGCUAAGAGGUAUUUUGGAUGUGUGGAGUAAAGUAGGCAGCGGUUAAAAUUUUCUAUGAAAACAUGAAUAAAACAUAUAAGCAAUGCAUCUCUAAAACAUUGGAAUUGAUAUUAAAUAUUAAAGAAACUAAAAUAUUCAGUUUAAGGGAAAUAAAAAUAAAAAAGGAAAGUCAAAUAGCUAUAAAGGUUAUUGAAAAAACACUAAUCUAAGGCAAUAUGAAAAUUAAGAUAAAAACAUGCGAACACCUUAGUAUCCUAACAUUCCCAAUAACCAAAAUAUGUGAUUGAACUCCUCAACCUUGGUCACCAUGAACGAGCCCUUCUUCGGGUAAUUUUCACCUCUUUCUUUCCCUUAAUUUGGUUGGAUUGUUCUCUUAAUUUCUUGGGAAAUUAAAGUUGAAUCUGGUGGGGCAUUUUUGGACAGGUAGAGCAUGUGAUCAGAGGACAAAAUAUGGUGGAUGCAUUCACCAUAAUGGAAAGCUACUGUCAUCUGUUGAUAGAGAGAGUCACGCUCAUUCAAAAGAACAAGUAAGAUUGAUUAAACUAUUGGUUAUAGAUUUAAUGGAUAUAUUUUCAAACAAUGGACUUUUUUAAAUUUGCCUCUUUCUACAAUAGGGAAUGUCCUGAUGAACUGAAGGAGGCAACAUCAAGCUUGAUGUUUGCAUCAUCAAGAUGUGGAGAAUUCCCAGAGCUUCUUCACAUUCGUGGGGUCGUAUCAUCGACUUUUGGGAAAGAAUUUGUUGCUCGUGCCGUUGAAUUGCGCAACAAUUGCAGUGUGUAUCCUAAUGUAAGGAUAGUUCAGUCAAUGCUUGAAAUUAGAAGACCUUUUUAGGAACCCUGAAGCUUAGCUCUUUUGGUUGAGGCUAACAGGUUUGGGAUUCAAAUCCCAACAUCUGUAAACCCUUCUUAUAUCUGGGACUGUGGCCGGCCCUUUGUUAAAAAAACGACUUUAUUAGAACGUACAGUUAUCCUUACAGUUAACUGCCUCUGGCUGUUUGAAAGAUAAUACAGAAGCUUUCGACACAACGACCAAGCUUGGAAAACAAAUUGAAAGUGCUUAAGGAGAUUGCCUUCGAGAGGGGUAUCACCUUGCAUUUGGAGGCAGUGGUUGUAGAGGUGAGAAACUUGCAAUCGAAUGAAAACAACAAUCACCAACAAACAAAAGGUUUAAAUUUUGAUUCUGAAAUGACAAUAUUUGAUGGUUGUAGGAGAAACUGGAUGUCAAUGAGAAGCAGGAUGAACGCGUUGCUGAUAAAUCUGCAAAACUGGAUGAUCCUGAGCACAAAGAUACAGCCAAUGAUUUGCCAAUAGCAAUAAACCUAGAUGAAAAUUUGUGUGAGUCAAUAAAAGCAAGGAAAAAGUACAGAGAUGUAGCUGCAGCUGCUCUAGAGGCUUUUGAAUCAGCAGCUUAUGCAGCAGCAGCUGCAAGAGCAGCGGUUGAACUCUCAAGAGCUGAAUCCCAAGACUUUGAUCCAGAUGACGAAAUUGGUUCGAGCCAUAAAAAAGGAGAAUUUGAUGAUUCUGAUGCAAUACCUGAUUUUUCAAAGCCAGGACAUGCAGCUUCAGAGGGAAUUGAUUACUCAAAGAAUGCCUUGGGAUUUGAAAAGAUCCAUCCCAUUGACAACUUUACCUCAGAAUCAGAAGAUGAAGGCAUGGCAAGGACAUUUUCUACUUGUAGUUCAGAUUCUGAUGUAUCCAUUUCAGCUGAGAAGAAACUGUCUUUGGAUAUAUUGAGACAGAAUCAAGCUUUGGGUGAUGAAUUAGCCAUUGACAUAGUUAAUACUGGUAGGAAGAAGGAAAAGGAGGAGACACAAUGGCCAAAGCCCCAUGAUCACUUGAGCUCUGAUAUUGGUUUGAGCUUAACUACAACCGAAGACCAAUACAUUGGACAGAAUGAAGUAAUCAAUGAGGACGAAAGCAAGUUUGCCUAUCAAUCGUCAAAGCUUUCAAACACUCAGAGCCUAAAUUUUGAACAGCAGUUACAUGCACAGCAUUCACAUCUAAACAAAAAGUGGGUGUCAAUGAGGACUAGAAGACAGCAUAGGAUUUGAUUUUUUUUAAUUAGUUGUGAAAUUUUGCUUCUCCAUGCUAAUCUCUUUAUUUUUUUCCCAAAUAAAUUUUUUAUGGUAUUAAAUUUUAAUUAAAUUAUUAUUUCAUACUGGAAAUAAAUAUCAAAGAAUUUGGAU